GGCCUCCCGGCCCCGCCGUGCACGGGCUGAGGGAGGCGCAGAGCGGCCGCGGCUGCCGGGUAGGGCGGUGUGCGAACCGAGGGGCCCCCGGUCCUGCCGGCCCUUAGCCCCCGGCCGCGGGAACCGAGGGGCCCCCGCCGCCGGGAGCCUCCGCCGCUUUCUGCCACGGCGAGCCCGUGCAAACACCCCCGAGCCUGAGCCAUGCCCAAAGCCCGGAAAGCCUGUGGCCGUGGCUUUAGUUUUCCAUAGCCCGGUGUGAGUAGGGAGGACUCCCGAUACUCCCGGUAGGAGUUAGGAAGACAUUCUUUCCUGUAAGGGUGGUGAGGCGCUGGGACAGGUUGCCAGUUGUGGGUGUCCAGCCUUGGAAGUCUUCCAGGUCAGGUUGGAUGGGGCUUUGAGCAAAUUUUUUGUGGAAGGUGUCUCUGUGGCCGGGGUGUUGGAAAUGAUUUAAGGUCCCUUCCAACCCAAAGCAUCCUGUGACUCUACACGGGUGGUUGGCACGUUCUGGGAUGUGCUCCUGGCCCAAGCAACUGCCCUGCCCAAGCUGAGGCUGCAAUCAACCAACACCCAUACCUGCAGAAUGGGGACGUGUUAAUAACCAGCACAAAUCCCGCUGUGACGCUGCCACGCCUGACUUCCUGCACCACACACCUGAGUCCCGUGUACUGGUGUCACCUGAACGCCAUGGAGCUGAACGCAGAAGCUGGGCUGAGUUCUCAGAGCAUAGACGUGUGAAUGUGCAUUCAGAGUCACUGUCAUUUAAGAGCAGGAAACCAUUAAAAUGUGACAUUAUGUUACCACGCAAAACUACCUUCUCUGUCCAAGAAAAGAGAUGAGACAAAUAAAGUGCAACAAUUACCCUUCAUUUUUGGUGCACCAUCUGAAGAUGAUGCCUUUCUCUUCACAGUGGUGGCCUCUGCUUUAUUCUGCUUGUGUUGGAGAUACUGAGCUUUCUGUUUCCAGAUCUGUAGUUACCAUGGAGUCAUCUAUCACCAGCUCUCCAGCCUCCAACUCUCCACCAGAAGAAGAACCAGAUUCUGGCGGUGCCUCCACACCUGAAACCUCGUACUCGCUUCCAUGGCCCUCUGAAUGAAGGGAGGUGUCAGCACCAAAACUC